AUUGAACGCUGGCGGCAGGCUUAACACAUGCAAGUCGAGCGAGCGGCGGACGGGUGAGUAAUGUCUGGGACACUGCCUGAUGGAUGGGGAUACCUACUGGAAACGGUAGCUACUACCGCAUACCAUCAGAUGUGCCCAGAUGGGAUUAGUUAGUAGGUGGGGUCAUGGCUCACCUAGGCGACGAUCCAUAGCUGGUCUGAGAGGAUGACCAGCCACUCUGGAAAUGAUACACGGCCCAGAUGCCUACGGGAGGCAGCAGUGGGGAAUAUUGCACAAUGGGCGGAAGCCUGAUGCAGCCAUGCCGCGUGUGUGAAGAAGGCCUUCGGGUUGUAAAGCACUUUCAGCGAGGAGGCGUUACUCGCAGAAGAAGCACCGGCUAACUCCGUGCCAGCAGCCGCGGUAAUUC
rnacentral:rRNA from 1 species